rnacentral:rRNA from 1 species
CCUACGGGUGGCAGCAGUGAGGAAUAUUGGUCAAUGGACGAGAGUCUGAACCAGCCAAGUAGCGUGAAGGAUGACUGCCCUAUGGGUUGUAAACUUCUUUUAUAUGGGAAUAAAAUGUUCCACGUGUGGGAUUUUGUAUGUACCAUAUGAAUAAGGAUCGGCUAACUCCGUGCCAGCAGCCGCGGUAAUACGGAGGAUCCGAGCGUUAUCCGGAUUUAUUGGGUUUAAAGGGAGCGUAGGUGGAUUGUUAGGUCAGUUGUGAAAGUUUGCGGCUCAACCGUAAAAUUGCAGUUGAAACUGGCAGUCUUGAGUACAGUAGAGGUGGGCGGAAUUCGUGGUGUAGCGGUGAAAUGCUUAGAUAUCACGAAGAACUCCGAUUGCGAAGGCAGUUCACUGGACUGCAACUGACACUGAGGCUCGAAAGUGUGGGUAUCAAACAGGAUUAGAUACCCUAGUAGUC